CGAACUAUGUGAUCUCUCCUACCCAAACCCCCCCUAUUUUAGAAGUAGAUUAGUCCUGUAACCUCCUGUGACCUCAUUCUGGUGCUAGAAUCCUGGAGAAAGGACACAAUAAACCAUGUGCUCCUCAAAAAUGUCCAGUGUGCGGCUGUUAUUUGCAAUUCUUAAAUAGCCUUACCACCGGCUCAUAACAAAUGGCGUCACGGACACGGAGAGGAAUUGUGAUGACAGUCAGCACGGUAUAGAGGAACAGAACUGUAUCCAACGCUCCAAAACUUACAGCAGAGCUGAGACUCUUCCACCAUAUGCUACGCCGCAGUGGGAGGGCGAGAUCGAUUGGAACACUCUGUCACUAUACUCCAUGGACAAACCUCCAGCAGUAUUAUACCCUACAUUUACUGGAUGCAGUCAACUAGGAGUACCAGCGUUUAAAAACGAGGAAGAGGGAAUGAACUGUACCCUGGCGGAAAACUCUACUGUCAGAACGGCUGAGAAGUGAGCUCCGAACUCCAUCUUGUAGAGCCAGGCUCCUUCUUUCAACACAGCACUGUAUUUCCAGUCUUCCAUUUUGCCGUCAGAGCGGGGCGUUCAGCUUGAUUGCUUCUAAAGUCCGGGUGGCACCGAAGGUCAAUCCCAUCUCAAGAGAGAAGCCUUUAGAAAGUGAACUUCUGCUGUUACAUUUCCCGUGCGGGUAAUUCUUAUGGAGGGAGAGAAAGCAGGCAUGUGUUCAGGUCUUAGAGUCUACUCCUGGAGCGGUAAAGCAAGCUUCCAGUCGUCGGGUAGAACAGAAGCGAAGGAACGUUCUGGAAUCUUUCAUCGUGCAUGCUGUGGACUCCCCAGAAAAAUUCAACACAUAUCCAGCCAGCAAAACCACACAAAGGAUUUACCGAACUGUCGCAGGGACAUUUCAAACAUUGACUGACUUCUACAGUAUCCAGUAAGAUUUACACCCCAGUUUUGAUUUGUAUUGCUUCGAUCUUUGCUUUAUUUGCACAUUUAUUCUGAAUUCCUUUUCAACCCACAUGCCACGUGGACACAAGACAUGCCCAGUCUUGCUCCAGCACAUGUGGUAGCCAUUAUGCUAGCCUUGGGUGGGCCACCCCAAUAACAAAGGGCCCAGAGAAAAACAACUUCUAAGCUAUUCCCAGUGGUGUAUUGUACAUUCCUCACACUUCUCUGUUUACCGAAUUGUAAGGCUUACUUAACCAGUACAAAAUUGUGACUUUUAUGUGUUUCAACAAUGUAUGCAUGUAGAUAGUGCAUCAGGUGCCAAGCAUUCAGCUGGUUUUCUCUUUAAUGUCAGCCAGGGUCUGUUUCUGAAGCAUAUUAUACAUUGCAUUACAA